AACUCUCAACAACGGAUGUCUAGGCUCCCGCAUCGAUGAAGAACGCAGCGAAAUGCGAUACGUAGUGUGAUUUGCAGGUCUCGAGAAUCAUCGAAUUUUUGAACGCACAUUGCGCCCGAGGCUUCGGCCGAGGGCAUGUCUGCCUCAGCGUC
rnacentral:rRNA from 1 species